rnacentral:rRNA from 1 species
CCUACGGGAGGCAGCAGUGGGGAAUAUUGCACAAUGGGGGAAACCCUGAUGCAGCAACGCCGCGUGAGUGAGGAAGUAUUUCGGUAUGUAAAGCUCUAUCUGCCGGGAAUCGAAAAGAGGGUACCUGGCAUAGCAGCCCCGGCUAACUAAGUACCAGCAGCCGCGGUAAUACGUAGGGGCCAAGCGUUUUCCGGAUUUACUGGGGUUAAAGGGAGCGUAGACGGGAAGGCAAAGCGGAGGUGAAAACCCAAGGCUCAACCAUGGGACUGCCGUUGAAACUGGCAAACUUGAGUACGGGAGAGGUAAGAGGAAUGCCUAGUGUAGCGGUGAAAUGCGUAGAUAUUAGGAGGAACACCAGUGGCGAAGGCGUCUUACUGGACCGAAACUGACGUUGAGGCUCGAAAGCGUGGGGAGCAAACAGGAUUAGAUACCCGAGUAGUC